CUUGUUUGGAGGCAGGGCUUACAUUGUCAAACUGAGAGAUUCCUUUAUUCAUUUAUGUCAAAUAUAGUUUCAAGUCUCAGUGCAUAUGGUUUAUCUGGAGAAUGACUGAGAAUGUUAUGUUCAUCUAACGUCAGCAAUUUUUGUGGAGGAUGGAAUGAUUAGUGACUCUGGUUUUGAGUGUCCGGAAUCUUGAUGGUGGUAUAUUGUACCCUCUGUUUAUAGCAUCGUAAUUAACUCAACUCAAGUUGACCUGAAAGCUAUACACUGAAAAUUUUACCCAACGAUUUAGAGUAGUUAUAUGUAUUCUUUGUUGCUAUGUUGCUCUAUUUAGCCUCACUUAUUCAAUUACUUACAAGCUUUUGGAUCUGUCCAGGAUUUGUCUCAGGGAGUAUGGGGUCUGGGUUAGGUCUUUAAUGCCACAUCCAAAGAUAAUAUUGAAUUUUACAAAAUUGAUAACUAUUAGAUUCAACUAAUGUGAAGAUUUUACAAUGCAUAUUAUGGUAUACAUUCCAAUGAAUCAAUUCUGGCCCAUCAACUUGUCAUCAUUUUCUAGUUCUUGAUGCUCAUAUGAUUACAUUCUGUGCUAUUUCUGUUAGAUUUAUGUUUUCAGAGUUCUGUAAUUUUCUCAAUAAAUAAGUGUGUUACAGAGUGGAGAUAAGGCUAUGGUUUUGUGCUUCGUGGAGUUCAUGGACUCAAAGUGUGCUGUGACUGCUAUGGAAGCUCUUAAUGGUUACAAGUUUGAUGAUAAAAAACCUGAGUCCCCUACUUUGAGGAUCCAAUUUGCGCAGUUCCCUUUCCGUCCAUCUGAUGGUGAUGAGCAGCGGAUUGGGAUUCCACGGUGAGUACUUGUGCAUGGUUGGACGACAAUCCAUUUAGUUGGUUUGGAUUUGUUAUGGUAUAGAAACAGCCGUCCUCAUUUUGAAUUGUAUAGUUUUGAGCCAUUCUGUGGUUUUGAGUAGCCAUUCUCAUAUAAAAUUACGUUUGGGUGAUUAAAUAAGCUUGUACAUUCCUAUUGAUGCUCCACCCUUAGGCAUUGGUUGGUUGCGUAAAUUUAUGUCCAUUUCUCCCAAACUGAUGAAAUGGACCUCAUAAAUUGAAAAUGCCAUUUUAUUUUUGACGUCCUAAUUCCAUCUUCAAAUUUUUAAUCCUUCUCUACUUUAUCA